AUCUUGAAUUCAAUUCUAUUAGAAUAACUUUUCUAGAAAACAUAUUUCUUUACAUGAAAAUAGAUUACAUAUGCAGUAUUUCCCUUCAUAGUCCAAGUAAACGCUGAUCUUUUCUUCAUGGUUGAAUCCUGUAAAUUCUCUAAAAGAUGCCUUUAUGCUCUUAAUCUGAGCCUCGAUCUCUUGCUCGCUUAUCUCCAUGAUACUCAUCAAAAGUGUCGGCUCUUGAAUAAUCUUCGUUGGCAAUUAAAUCAAGUCAUGUAUUCCUUCGUGGACUUCUGGCUUUUUCUCGUCAUGCCUUUGUUGGCUUGAAUCUCUGGCAAUUACAUCAUGUAUUCCUCCGUGAACUACUAGCUUUCUCUCAUCGUGUUUACUUGGACUAUAUUCAGGCGAUCGCACUAUAAUCUACUUUAUCAAGAAAUUCGUUUCCUUAUGAAAAACUAUUCUAUUUAGGAAUUGAAUUUCGAAUCAAUACAUUCUUUUCUUUGAUGUAAUGUAAUGCGAAUGCAUGAACGCAAAAAAAAGGAAGGCAUUGAUUCUAAAUUUAAUUUCAUUAGAACAACUUUUCUAGAAAGCAAAUUCUUUUACAUAAAACGGACUACAUAUACGGCUUUUCUCUUGUAUUCCAAGUGAAGACACCUAUCUUCCUCUUCAUAUCCGGAUCUUGUGGUCGAGUCUGACGAAUUCUCCAAGAGAUGUCUAUAUUAACUCCUUUUUUGCUCGAUCCAGGCUGCGACUCGUUGCUCACUUAUUACUGUCAUACUUGUCAGCUCCUUUAAGAAGGUCAAGAUGUGACGGCUCUCGAAUAAUCUUUGUCAGUUUCUGUCUUCAGGCAAUGAAGCAAAGUCUUGUAUUUCUUCACGGGCUAUCAGUCUUCUUUCAUGUGUUCACUUGGAUCAUAUUUAGACAACCGUAUUAUAAUUCCACUUUAUCUAAAAAUUCGUUUUCUUAUGACAAACUGUUCUAUUUAGCAAUGAAAUAUGAAUCAACACCUCCUUCCUAGGAUGAUGUAAUGUAAUGCAAUUAUAAACAAAACAAAAAUAAAACACGUUAGUGCAGGAUAAAUAAAUAACAAAUAAAGCAAUUCGGGUGACCAUUAGGGGUUCGGAGUGGCUCUACCUAGGGUGGGCUCCUAGGUCUCUCUAUAUGUGGUUUGGUUCUAGAGUAAGGGUACCUGAACCAGCAGAUUCCUCGAUCCUCACCCAUUAUAGGCUCAUUUGAGUCGAGUUCAAUUCAAGAGAAUACAUUUCCUUAUGGCUACACGGAGAUGAAAAUCUCACGAAACCAUAGGUACGGAUGUAUUCCGAAAGUGAUCCACUAUCCUGCACGGAGGUGAAAACCUCACGAAGGCGUAGUUUCUCACUCCCACUUAAGGGUGUGACCACAACGGUCAUGCAAUGCAAUGCGAGAAGAUAUAUGCAUAAAAACUUGAAAUGAUUAAAGAAAAUAGGAAUAAAAUUAUGAAAACAGUACGAAAAACGGGUGAAACGCAAUGAAGAGAUCGUAUAUCAAAACCAAAUUCUCAAUUUUCGAAAAAAGACAAAAGUUAAUCAACUUGUGGCUUGACUCUCUUAUAAAACUCCCCAGUGGAGUCGCCGAGCUGUCGUAACCAUUCUUUUGAAAAAACGGGUAUAGACUUGGAGAAAAAAAAAUGAAAACAGGAGUCGCCACCAAUCUUUUUAGGUGUGAUCGGAUCUCCUUAAGUUAAUCAUUUUAAUAAAAGUUAAGAUUUACUAAAACGAUAAUUUUUGGUCUACGAAAAUCAGAAAAUGAGUUCGGGAGUCGGUUACGCACGAGGAAGGAUUAGCACCCUCGAUACGCCCAAAAUUGGUACCUAGUUGAUUAAUUAGUGUCUUAGUGUCGAAAAGUUGAAAACUUGAAAGAAUUUAAAAUACGAUCCCUCUUUGUAAAGAAAAUGCUCAAAUGUUAAGGACCUUCUCGUCUCACAAUAUAAAAUGUCACAUCUAGUAAGUUAGGACACGACAUCUUGAAUUUUCGAGAGCGAGCUUGCCUUUUAUAUAAAAUUUCGUGUAUUUCAAAAGGUUAUUCAGUUAGUUAAGGUGAACGAGGAAAAUCGAAACCCAGUAAGUUAGGGCACGUUUCCUCGAAUUCCCAAACACCAAAUAUUGCCUUUACUUGCAAAAAUCUUAUUUCGAGGUAACAAAAUGCCAUACCCAGUAAUUUAGGACACAACACCUCGUAUCUCCGAGAAUAAGCAUUUUUCAAAACUCAUGUCGCGAUUUAAAAGAGUAUUCCGUUAUUUAGGUUAAAUGAGAAAAAUAGAAACCCAGUAAGUUAGGGCACGAUUGUCUCAAAUUACCAAAUACGGAAUGUUACUUUUAUGAAAGAAUUAUUAUUGGGUUGGAUAUAAUGAUAAUAAGAAUAAUAUUAAAGUAAAGUAACUAAUAAUACUAUAUAUAAAUAUAUAUAUGUAUAAUAGAAAUACACACUACUAUAUAAUAAUAAUAAUAAAUACAAAAAUACAAAAAGCAAAUAUAAUAAAAAUAUUAAAUUAAAGUAAUAAAAAAACAAUACUAUAUAUAAAUAUAUAUAUACAUAAAAAUAUACACUAAUAUAUAAUAAUAAUAGUAAUAGCAAAAAUAAUGAAAAUAUGAGUAAUAUUAAUAAUAUAUUAGAAUACAAAAGUAAAGUAAUAACAAUAGGGGUGAUAAUAAUAAUAAUAAUAAUAAUAAUACAAACAAUAAUACAUAUAUAUAUAUAUAAAAAUAGUAGUCAGAAAUAAAAAAUAAUAGAAGUAACAAUAAUGAUAGUAAUAAUAUAAAUAAAUAUGGAGAGGGCAUAUAUAAUAUAAUAAUAUAAAUAAUAAUAUACACAUGAGAAAUAAUAAUAAUAUAAAUAAUAGUAAAAAUAAUAAAAUAAAAAAAUAAAACAAAGCUCUCAACUCUCUUUCUCCCUCUUUUCUAAAUUCGGCCGUUGGUCCGGUUUUGCUUCAGUCAUGGACCCCCACGGGCCGCCAUCGGCGUCACCGUACACGGCGGCCGGACCUCAAAAAAAAACUUUUUCGGUAAUGAAAAUAUGGGUAAGCUUCUUACUUUUAUUUUUACUUUCGUAUAAAAAAAACAAAAUAAAAUUGAAAGGAAAACAAUAAACAAACAAAGAACUUAAGAUGAGAAUAGAUAAAAGAAACCUCUUUUGCUUUGAUCUUUGAUUAAUCUCAAAAAACUAGCAUUUCCAAAAAACAAAAAACAAGCC
rnacentral:lncRNA from 1 species